GCCAGGCACAGUGGUGUAUGCCUGUAAUCCCAGCAGUUAGGGAGGCUGAGACAGGAGGAUCGCGAGUUCAAAGCCAGUCUCAGCAAUGGCGAGGCACUAAGCAUCUCAGUGAGACCCUGUCUCUA
rnacentral:sRNA from 1 species